ensembl:lncRNA
CAGUUGGAUUAGCAGUUGGAUUAACAACUUCAUUUUAAAAAUCCUGCUGCUAUUCAAAUUAGCCACACCGUGGGAUGUAAGGAGCUCUCUGAUUGGUUGGUCAGACACAGGCUGUCUGCCAACCUGGAUUUUUCUAGCUCAUAGCUUCGCCCUGCUACUAAGCGUGUGUGCCUGUACAAAGGCCGUUCAGCCUCGGGAUUUACACUCGGCUCGACACGGAUAUGUGAAGAAUGAAGGGAGCCUGCAGCGAAACGGAGAGCCAACCUCUGACUGAGUGCCCGUUUACUCAGUCUGACCACCUGUUGAAGGGCUGUUUGAUGACGAUUUGGACUCCUCUGGGAGAUGAGGACACACCCACAUCUGUUCCAUACUGCAGCCAUGGAUGGUGUUACGGCUCUGAGUCAGCUUUGGGCCAUCAGACGCACACACUGGAAAACCAGCGCCUGUACUUCAUGCACGAGAGACGGCCUCAGUGAUAAUUCAUCAGCAGCUGUGAAGAGAUGUAUUUGAAUAUCUUCUGGUUCCACUUUUCUUAACCUGGAAGCUGAGGAUGGCUGAUUCCUGACAAGGACACACACCUCAGCGCUUAUCAUGGGUGUUACAUCCUCUGUGCCGCAAUUCCAGAGAAAACGAGAGAGCAACAACCACUCAUUAAGACCAGCCAGAAAUCUGUCACUUUCUGGCAGCUGUGAAAACUUCCAAUAAGAAAGUUUGCAUUCUUAGAACAAUGCUGGGUGUUUAUAUUUUCAUGUUUUUGUGUCUGUAGGGCUGUUUGAUGACGAUUUGGACUCCUCUGGGAGAUGAGGACACACCCACAUCUGUUCCAUACUGCAGCCAUGGAUGGUGUUACGGCUCUGAGUCAGCUUUGGGCCAUCAGACGCACACACUGGAAAACCAGCGCCUGUACUUCAUGCACGAGAGACGGCCUCAGUGAUGAUUGACUCUGCAUCCUCUACUUUACCUCCUAAUCUCUUUCUCUUUAACACACAAUUAAAAUCACUCCAAAAGAGUGUAAACUUACUGAGGAAGUCUCUAACUUGUACACAUUUGUACUUUUACUUGUUUUAUGAGUUAUUUUUAAGAAGAGUAAAGUUAUUCACAAAGUUUUUAUUCUUCUGUAUUUAUUCUUUUGUAUCAUGUACCACAGUCAUACUGAACUUUACAGACCUGGUGAAUUGGGGAAAAAAAAAAGUCAUAUAUAUACAUGAAUGAAUCAUUCAGCUUCAGCAGUAUUUCUAUUCAUCUUAUGAAUUCCAGUCUAAUGUCAAUUCACUGUUUGAGUUCAGUUUUGGUCUUAAACUCCAGAGAAUACCACCUAGUUCAACAAUCUUUUUAUCUGAUUAUUUGCAAAACGGUUUUCUUCUGAGAGAUGCUGCUAGAGCUGAAAUUGAGCCCAAAGAAACAACAACAAAGUUUAGUUCCUCUGGAUUUUCCAUGGAAAAUUGUUUUAUCACUCAUCCAGGUGACUUCUCCAGUGUCACGGAUGAGUGAUGAAUGUAUCUCCCACUGGAAACCAUUGUGUCCAGUUAAAGUCAAUCGACUUUUUUAAGGAGAGUUGUUAGAUGCUGUGCUCAUGAGGACAAUGAGUUUUAACUUGGAGCACAAUAAAAAGCUGCCAUAUUGGAUCAACGAACAAAACACUUAAUUGAGCAGAAUUAAGUCAAAAUGUAAUUAUCCUCAUAUAAUGAC